ACGGUGGUUGGGCACAGAGCAUGGACAUGGUGGUUGCCCGGAGCAUGGACGCGGUGGUUGCCCGGAGCAUGGACACGAUGGUUGGGCACAGAGCAUGGACACGGUGGUUGCCCAUGCUGCACGGGCAGGGCGCACAGCUCGGUGCUGCUCGGGCACCCCGCUGGCACCGCCCGGCCGGGCCCGGUCCUGGCGCUGUUCCUCUUCAGCACCAACCUUGAGCAGCCAACCCCGCCCUGCACUCCUGGUGCUCGGCACCGCGCCAGCCCCAUGUCCAUCCUGGUGGCCAUCACUGCAUCCAUCUCAUGUCCAUCCCUGUGUCCAUCCUGGUGGCCAUCACUGCAUCCAUCUCUGUGUCCAUCCCUGUGGCCAUCACUGCGUCCAUCUCAUGUCCAUCCCUAUGUCCAUCCCCGUGUCCAUCCCAUG
rnacentral:lncRNA from 1 species